UAGGGAAUUUUCGUCAAUGGGCGCAAGCCUGAACGAGCGAUGCCGCGUGAGUGAAGAAGGCCUUGGGUCGUAAAGCUCUGUUGCGGGGGAAAAAGCAGCAUCAGGAAAUGGGUGCUGACUGAUGGUGCCCCGCAGAAGUCACGGCUAACUACGUGCCAGCAGCCGNGGUAAUCUCUAGCU
rnacentral:rRNA from 1 species